CUGGCCGUAAACGAUGAAUGCUAGGUGUGGGUGUAGCGAUACAUCUGUGCCGUAGUUAACGCGUUAAGCAUUCCGCCUGGGGAGUACGAUCGCAAGAUUGAAACUCAAAGGAAUUGACGGGGGCCCGCACAAGCGGUGGAGCACGUGGUUUAAUUCGAUGCAAACCGAAGAACCUUACCUGGGUUUGACAUGUACGUGGUACUGACAUGAAAGUUGAAGGACCUGGUCUUCGGACCGGGAGCGUACACAGGUGC
rnacentral:rRNA from 1 species